AUUGAACGCUGGCGGCCGGCCUAACACAUGAACGUCGAACGAGUUGCGGACGGGUGAGUAAUGUCUGGGAAACUGCCUGCUGGAGGGGGAUAACUACUGGAAACGGUAGCUAAUACCGAAUACGAUCAGAUGUGCCCAGAUGGGAUUAGCUAGUUGGUGGGGUAACGUCUCACCAAGGCGACGGGCCCGAGCUGGUCUGAGAGGAUGACCAGCCACACGGUAACUGAGACACGGUCCAGCCUCCUAAGGGAGGCAGCAGUGGGGAAUAUUGCACAAUGGGCGCAAGCCUGAUGCAGCCAUGCCGCGUGUAUGAAGAAGGCCUUCGUGUUGUAAAGUACUUUCAGCGGGGAGGCGUUACCCGCAGAAGAAGCACCGGCUAACUCCGUGCCAGCAGCCGCGGUAAUUC
rnacentral:rRNA from 1 species